UACGAGAGGCCCAAACGUUAUUCGGAAUUACUGGGCUUAAAGAGUUCGUAGGCGGUAUGACAAGUAGGGUGUGAAAGCCCCCGGCUCAACCGGGGAAUUGCGCCCUAAACUGGCGAGCUGGAGUGAGAUAGGGGUGUGUGGAACUUCCGGUGGAGCGGUGAAAUGUGUUGAUAUCGGAAGGAACACCAGUGGCGAAAGCGGCUUCCUGGUCCAGCACCGACGUUCAGGCACGAAAGCGUGGGGAGCAAACAGG
rnacentral:rRNA from 1 species